CCUACGGGUGGCUGCAGUGGGGAAUAUUGCGCAAUGGGCGAAAGCCUGACGCAGCGACGCCGCGUGAGGGAUGAAGGUCUUCUGAUCGUAAACCUCUGUCAGCAGGGAAGAACAGUCACUGUGCUAAUCAUCAUUGAAUUGACGGUACCUGCAAAGGAAGCACCGGCUAACUCCGUGCCAGCAGCCGCGGUAAUACGGAGGGUGCGAGCGUUAAUCGGAAUUACUGGGCGGAAAGGGCUCGUAGGCGGUAUGUCAAGUCAAGGGUGAAAUCCCCGGGCUCAACGUUGGAACUGCCGUUGAAACUGGCAAACUGGAGUGUGUGUGAGGAUAGUGGAAUUCGAGGUGUAGGAGUGAAAUACGUAGAUAUCUGGAGGAACAUCAGUGGCGAAGGCGACUAACUGGGACAUAACUGACGCUGAGGAGCGAAAGCGUGGGUAGCAAACAGGAUUAGAUACCCCUGUAGUC
rnacentral:rRNA from 1 species